UACGUAGGGGGCAAGCGUUGUCCGGAAUUAUUGGGCGUAAAGCGCGCGCAGGCGGCUUUGUAAGUCUGUCGUUUAAGUUCGGGGCUCAACCCCGUAUCGCGAUGGAAACUGCAAGGCUUGAGUGCAGAAGAGGAAAGUGGAAUUCCACGUGUAGCGGUGAAAUGCGUAGAGAUCAUGAGGAAGACCAGUGGCGAAGGCGGGUCUCUGGACAGUUCCUGACACUGAGGCACGAAGGCCAGGGGAGCAAACGGG
rnacentral:rRNA from 1 species